rnacentral:rRNA from 1 species
UACGUAGGGUGCGAGCGUUAAUCGGAAUUACUGGGCGUAAAGCGUGCGCAGGCGGUCUGUUAAGACCGAUGUGAAAUCCCCGGGCUUAACCUGGGAACUGCAUUGGUGACUGGCAGGCUUUGAGUGUGGCAGAGGGAGGUAGAAUUCCACGUGUAGCAUGUGAAAUGCGUAGAGAUGUGGAGGAAUACCGAUGGCGAAGGCAGCCUCCUGGGCCAACACUGACGCUCAUGCACGAAAGCGUGGGGAGCAAACAGG